UGGGGAAUUUUGGACAAUGGGCGAAAGCCUGAUCCAGCAAUGCCGCGUGUGUGAAGAAGGCCUUCGGGUUGUAAAGCACUUUUGUCCGGAAAGAAAUCCUUGGCUCUAAUACAGUCGGGGGAUGACGGUACCGGAAGAAUAAGCACCGGCUAACUACGUGCCAGCAGCCGCGGUAAUACGUAGGGUGCAAGCGUUAAUCGGAAUUACUGGGCGUAAAGCGUGCGCAGGCGGUUUGCUAAGACCGAUGUGAAAUCCCCGGGCUCAACCUGGGAACUGCAUUGGUGACUGGCAGGCUAGAGUAUGGCAGAGGGGGGUAGAAUUCCACGUGUAGCAGUGAAAUGCGUAGAGAUGUGGAGGAAUACCGAUGGCGAAGGCAGCCCCCUGGGCCAAAUACUGACGCUCAUGCACGAAAGCGUGGGGAGCAAAACAGGAUUAGAUACCCUGGUAGUCCACGCCCUAAAACGAUGUCAACUAGUUGUUGGGGAUUCAUUUCCUUAGUAACGUAGCU
rnacentral:rRNA from 1 species